UGGGGAAUAUUGGACAAUGGGGGGAACCCUGAUCCAGCCAUGCCGCGUGUGUGAAGAAGGCCUUAUGGUUGUAAAGCACUUUAAGCGAGGAGGAGGGUACUGGUAUUAAUACUACCAGGUACUGGACGUUACUCGCAGAAUAAGCACCGGCUAACUCUGUGCCAGCAGCCGCGGUAAUACAGAGGGUGCGAGCGUUAAUCGGAUUUACUGGGCGUAAAGCGUGCGUAGGCGGCUAAUUGAGUCGGAUGUGAAAGCCCCGGGCUCAACCUGGGAACUGCAUCCAAAAAUGGCGAGCUAGAGUAGGGCAGAGGGUGGUGGAAUUUCCUGUGUAGCGGUGAAAUGCGUAGAUAUAGGAAGGAACACCAGUGGCGAAGGCGACCACCUGGGCUCAUACUGACACUGAGGUGCGAAAGCGUGGGGAGCAAACAGG
rnacentral:rRNA from 1 species